GCUAUAGCUCAGGGGCAGAGCAUCUGCCUUGCAUACAGAAGGGCCCAGGUUCAAUCCCUGGUAUCUCCA